rnacentral:rRNA from 1 species
CCUACGGGUGACAGCAGUGAGGAAUAUUGGUCAAUGGGCGCGAGCCUGAACCAGCCAAGUAGCGUGAAGGAUGACUGCCCUACGGGUUGUAAACUCCUUUUAUAAAGGAAUAAAGUGAGGCACGUGUGCCUUUUUGUAUGUACUUUAUGAAUAAGGAUCGGCUAACUACGUGCCAGCAGCCGCGGUAAUACGGAGGGUCCGAGCGUUAUCCGGAUUUAUUGGGUUUAAAGGGCGCGUAGAUGGGUUGUUAAGUCAGUUGUGAAAGUUUGCGGCUCAACCGGAAAAUUGCAAUUGAUACUGGCAGGCUUGAGUACAGUUGGGGUAGGCGGAAUUCGUGGUGUAGCGGUGAAAUGCUUAGAUAUCACGAAGAACUCCGAUGGCGAAGGCAGCUUACUGAACUGCCACUGACAUUGAUGCUCGAAAGUGUGGGUAUCAAACAGGAUUAGAUACCCGUGUAGUC